UGUUCGGGAGCCAGAACAUUCGACUCCCAAGGCCAAGGUACAACUGUACUGAAUAAAGGAGGCAAAGCAGAAGAGAGACACUGGCCAUAGGAAUCUGCCACCUGUGUCAAUGUAUUCUCAUUACGAACCAGAUUGGAACAAGAAGUACAUCCAUUAGGUAGGUAGGUAGGUAGGUAGGUAAGUGAACAAUUGAACGAACGAAUGAAUGAAAGGUUUUCCAAAUCGGGAAAGGUUAGGAGACCCAGGGCCUGCCACAGAAGACCUAGGACCCUGGCCCUGUUUUUCAGCAGUUCUCCAUGAUCUCAGGCAAUAGGUCUAUCCCAGGCCUACUAAGUCACUAGUGGAGAACUGCAUCCAGGAUCUCUUGCGUGAUAAGGCUGCACCCUCUCCCUGAGUUGCAGCUCCUGCUUUCCGGGAAGAAAAGACUAGGGGUGUGAAAAUGCUUUGAGGUGUGUGGCCUCUGCUUGUUUGCAUUUCUGUGCAUCACUGGUGUCAAAAGGACGAUCUCAAUCGAGAGGGUUUCCUUGACUCAGUGUUUUCAGCGACCUGCCUCUCAGCUGAACUACAACCUGGCUUUGUCAAUGAACGGCGCCCCAUUCAACAAAUGUCAAUGCUUUCCCUAAUAGCAAGGCACCCACCUAACCCCCUCCUUGCCAGGUCUGUAAACAGCAUAAAUUAGUAAUCAAAAAAGAUACUGCCUCCUGAAUAUUUUAUGGCAGUGCGAAUGAAAGGGAAAUGUGCAGACCGAAGGCUUGAUGAUGCAAACAUAUUUGUCAAGCUUUUCUUUGUUUAAGCAGAAGAGCGAAAGUGCUGGAGGCUGGUCCCUCCCAUCCCCUGCUCAUUGGGAGAUAAUUAUAAUCUUAGCAAGCUGGCUGUCUCGGAGCUAUUCUUGGGGGGGGGGGGAGUUGCUUGCACAAGGCACCAGCGGUGCCUCAAUUAUCUGAGCAAUCCCUCUUAUUAUAUCUUCUUCAAAUACCCACUUAGUAGAAAGUUAUAUGAAGAGAGCUGUAUCUCCCCACCCUCCAAAAAUAAAAUUCCCCGGAAGAUGGAUUCGUUUCUGCAAAAUAAGUCUGAAAUUUCCACUCAAUGGUUCCAGUUGGGCAGGAUUUGCACAGGAUUCCCACUGUGAGAACAGGAUGCUGGACCUACUGUACAAAGUUGGUUACAUUGCUCUGCCCGUUUUUUGCAUCUGACCUCAUUCUCCAUUGGCACGUGGCCGUGGAAGGUUGUCCAAAAGGGAAUAAGGCUGGAAAUGGUUCCUCAUCCCUGCCUCUGAAGCUCCAACCGUUACUUAGGAAUAGAGGUGUACCUAGGCAAGGAAAUGUAUCAGUGCCUCCAAAGCUGGCAGAGACCACAGACCAGAAACUCAAAAAGUUUGCUUUUCUUCACCUUUCACACUCCGCCAGUGACUUCUUCCACGGCCUUUGGAGUUGGGCCUGCUCUUUUCCACCUCUCCUCCUCCUCCUCCCCUGUCAGUCCAUCUCCCUCCCUCCAUUCACUGUUUUCUCUUCUGCCUCCUCCCUCCCUUUCCCCUCCUCUUGCAACUCUCAUCCGCUCUCUCCAUCAUUCUUCCCUCUGAGCCCCACUCAGCGAUCUGCUCACACUUCUAAUAGUGCCACCAGCCAGCUGGGGAGGGGCCCCCACAGGGCUGCUGUGACAGUCCACACCAGCGACUGGAUUCCUCUGCCAAGCCACCCAGGUGAACCUGAAUAUCUCACCUGGCCACCCAGAGCAAUGGAGGAGCAGCCCAGAGAGUAAUGGAUGGGUUAGCAGGCUCCUAGCAACUCCGAGCCAUAGUGGAGAGAUGAAAUUUAGACACUCCUCUGGGUCUGUGCUCUUGGUGAGGACUAAGAUGGCCAACCCCUAGGUACACACUUGCUUGAGAAUAAAUCCCAGUGAGAGCUUUCAUCUGCACAGCUAUGCAGAGGAUUGCACUGUGAGUAGUAAGUUCAUGCCCAGAUUCCAUUGCCUUUGAGUAAACGCAUGCCUAAAUUGAGGGGACACUACACGACAGUUUCAUGGAAAACAAAUUAAGGUUCACCACCACUGACCACCAAUGCAAAUAUAUUGUAAGGUCUGAAAAGGAAAGUUCAGCGAAGAAUGGAAAGACCAGGAAACUGAACUAACAGAAGUGAUUUUUUUUGUUUUCAUGAUUCUUUGGAAAACAAGGAGCCCUGGAGAACUGGACAUUUAAAUAGUUAACCAAUAGUUAUGGCCCAGCUGCAGCCAAUCAUUGUUAAGCAAAGUACUUGAAACAUGCCCUCACGCCGCAUUGACUUCAGUGGGAUUUGAGACUUUGCUUAAGUGCAUUCCAGAACAGAGGCCCACAAUGGGAGAAACCAAAAGCCAAAGGCCUUGAGAUCUGAUACUUCCUCU